rnacentral:lncRNA from 1 species
UCUUGUUAAAGUUAGAUCAACCUGACAGACGUGUUAUGGGUGGUCUCUAUCAAUAUGCAUGAACAACUUUUCUACUUUUUAGUUAGUCUUACUGCCUUCUAGACUCGUAGAAAGUUCUAAGUGUGUACGGAAAUUAAUAUUAGGUUAUCAAAUGUUUGACCUUAAUUAAUAAGAAUAAUCAAAUGAAUUUCCAAAUAUUAAUUAGGUGGUCAUAAAAAAAGAGACUGCCUUUGAUUUAAAACUAAAAUUAAUUAUAUUAUGAAUGACAUCUUUUUCUCGACUUUGUUAUACAAAUGAAGUAAUCAUCUAUUUGUCAAGAUUUUAAUUUUUGAUUGGCAAUGUCAAUGUUUUUGAGAAGCUUCUCAUACUUAGGGAUUUAUUAACUUGCACAAUAAAAUAGUUUAAAGAUAUUAUUCUCAGUCAGUCAUAAUAAGAUAUAUGUGUCUCGAUUAAAAUCUUAGCUCUAAAAAAGACAUUGAACUAUAUUUUCAAUUUUUUCGCAUAGCUAAUUUAGUUAUAUAUAUUCGAUUGUUUCUCAUUAUUCAAUUUUUGCUCUUUCUUUAUUAGUUCGCUACGAUAAUGCACUGAAAUAUUCGAUCUUAUCUAAAGCUAGCAAGGGAGUUACAUUCAAGUAAUUACUGCUACAUGGAGUAAUAUAUCAAUUUAGGUAUUGAAUAUUACUACCGAAGUCGUAACUCGACGUAAAGUUACAUCAAAUAUUACCGUAAAUGUUACAUGAAUAAAUAGCUCAUUUCAAAAAGGGGAUAACUGCAGCCACGAUCUCAAACAUUGCAAAUAUUUGCGUGUUUUACCCUAAUCUUUCAUUUAUUACGCCCUUAGUCCCAAACCUUUCAAGUACAUGCAGUUAGAGGAUAAAUGGAUGAAAACCGUCCACUUUUUCAUUAGUUGACUAGAAAAUUAAGUUUGACCAAAUUUUUAACAAUUUUAAUGAGGACAAAGUAGUAAUUUUAUAUUUACCGCAUUAAACAAUUAAAGUAACUAAAUAAAAACAAAAAAAAAAGAAAUAUUAAAACUAAAUUUCCACCUCCCCCGCCCACACCCCCCACCUCCCUCGCAAACCAUGGAUCUUUUUCAGUCAACGUCCACCGGUUGUCAACAUGCGAAAAUGUUUCAAAAUUCCCAAAUUUUACUUUUUGAUCCUGCGAAAAAGUAAUGGAACCUAUAAAAUCCUCAACUAACAGCUAAAAUCUGCCAUAGCUUCACUAGCGACGACAUUGGCAACCUAGUGUUCACUAAAAUCCUACACUGCAAGUGUAGGGG